AUUGAACGCUGGCGGAAUGCUUUACACAUGCAAGUCGAACGGUAGAGGGGGCAACCCCUUGAGAGUGGCGAACGGGUGAGUAAUAUAUCGGAACGUGCCCAGUCGUGGGGGAUAACGUAGUGAAAAUUACGCUAAUACCGCAUACGAUCUAAGGAUGAAAGCGGGGGAUCGCAAGACCUCGCGCGACUGGAGCGGCCGAUAUCAGAUUAGGUAGUUGGUAGGGUAAAGGCCUACCAAGCCAACGAUCUGUAGCUGGUCUGAGAGGACGACCAGCCACACUGGAACUGAGACACGGUCCAGACUCCUACGGGAGGCAGCAGUGGGGAAUUUUGGACAAUGGGCGAAAGCCUGAUCCAGCCAUUCCGCGUGCAGGAUGAAGGCCCUCGGGUUGUAAACUGCUUUUGUACAGAACGAAAAGGUCUCUAUUAAUACUAGGGGCUCAUGACGGUACUGUAAGAAUAAGCACCGGCUAACUACGUGCCAGCAGCCGCGGUAAUACGUAGGGUGCAAGCGUUAAUCGGAAUUACUGGGCGUAAAGCGUGCGCAGGCGGUUAUAUAAGUCAGAUGUGAAAUCCCCGGGCUCAACCUGGGAACUGCAUUUGAGACUGUAUAGCUAGAGUACGGUAGAGGGGGAUGGAAUUCCGCGUGUAGCAGUGAAAGGGGUAGAUAUGCGGAGGAACACCGAUGGCGAAGGCA
rnacentral:rRNA from 1 species